rnacentral:rRNA from 1 species
AUUGAACGCUGGCGGAAUGCUUUACACAUGCAAGUCGAGCGGCAGCGCGGGGGCAACCCUGGCGGCGAGCGGCGAACGGGUGAGUAACAUAUCGGAACGUACCCCGUCGUGGGGGAUAACACAGCGAAAGCUGUGCUAAUACCGCAUACGACCUGAGGGUGAAAGCGGGGGAUCGCAAGACCUCGCGCGAUGGGAGCGGCCGAUAUCGGAUUAGCUUGUUGGUGAGGUAAAGGCUCACCAAGGCGACGAUCAGUAGCUGGUCUGAGAGGACGACCAGCCACACUGGAACUGAGACACGGUCCAGACUCCUACGGGAGGCAGCAGUGGGGAAUGUUGGACAAUGGGGGCAACCCUGAUCCAGCCAUUCCGCGUGAGUGAAGAAGGCCUUCGGGUUGUAAAGCUCUUUCAGCAGGAACGAAACGGUGGCCACUAAUACUGGCUACUAAUGACGGUACCUGAAGAAGAAGCACCGGCUAACUACGUGCCAGCAGCCGCGGUAACAC